UGUUUGAUCCUGGCUCAGAACGAACGCUGGCGGCGUGCCUAACACAUGCAAGUCGAGCGUGAAAGUCCCUUCGGGGGCGAGUAAAGCGGCAGACGGGUGAGUAAUACAUAGGUAAUCUACCUUCGAGUUUGGGAUAACCCUGCGAAAGUGGGGCUAAUACCGGAUAAGACCACACGGCUUAAGUCGCGUGGUAAAAGGUGGCUUAUUUUUUAAAUGAGCUAUCACUUGAGGAUGAGCCUGUGGCCUAUCAGCUUGUUGGUGAGGUAAGAGCUUACCAAGGCUAUGACGGGUAGCUGGUCUGAGAGGACGACCAGCCACACUGGGACUGAGACACGGCCCAGACUCCUACGGGAGGCAGCAGUGGGGAAUAUUGGGCAAUGGGCGCAAGCCUGACCCAGCGACGCCGCGUGGGUGAUGAAGGCCUUCGGGUUGUAAAGCCCUGUCAUGUGGAAAGAACAGUCUCGUGGUGAAUAUCCACGGAUUUGACGUACCACAGGAGAAGCACCGUACUCCUG
rnacentral:rRNA from 1 species